rnacentral:lncRNA from 1 species
UUAUUUUGUGUGGUGCCCCAGCUGCCACCACUCUUUUUUUUUGCAUCAGUUUCAAUCUUCCGAUUGAUGCCCGAGCUUUUUCUCGAGGCGAGACGAGCAUGAUGCCCUUUUUUUUUGCCUUCAUCUUGGUGCCUUCAGCUUUGAGGUUAUGAUCUUGAACUCUGCAGAAGCCACGGCAUCUCCGUAGGAUGGUGUGUACAAUAAUGUAAACACUAAGAAAUUCUUUGUUAAUAAUCAUUGCUCCGGCUUUGUAAUUUCCUUUUUGUACUUGAAGUGGUCAGCGAGGCACCUGACUGGAUAACACAAUACCUAUUUUCAUGGAAUAGAAGGGCCAUAUAGAUCUUUUUGCCAGUUUGCUAGGUUGGGUAGGUAGGUAGGUCUUCUCGUUGCAGGAGAACAUGGCGCCCCACUGUGCUACUUUGUGCGUUCCCGUUGUGCUUCAGGACAUUGUAGAGCUUGUCUGCUAUUGGUAUUUCUCGCGUUGCAUAGUUUCGAUCUUUAUAUCCGUGGGUUUGCCGCCAGGGCACUUCAUGUUUUUAUUCCUAAUCACUAAAGGACUCGGAGAAAAUUAAUUAGAGACAGGAUGAAGCCUGAAAUGAGCAUCGAUUUUGCCGAACGCAGCCAGUUCAGAAAUAGUUUAUAAGGACCGUACGCAUUUUUUGGUCAACUUUGACUAAAUAAAGUCAACUUUAACUAAACUUCUAUGCCGCCCAGCUUAUAUAUUGGUAUAAUUGAAAGUCAAAACAUAUCUCAAAAUGUGUACGAACCUUGUGAACAGAAAAUGCAGCUGAAAGGAUUUUUCACUAGGUUCCUUAUUAUAAGAGAAAUUAAAUCCAGUAGUUCCUGUAUAAUCUUCUUUCCGAACCCACCUUGACUCUAUAAGCGAGCCUACGCAACGACCGAGUGCAAGGCAAUGGCUGUGUUUGAUGAUCGACACUCUUUCACAUGAGGCUUUUGUCAACCUAUCGGUAUCCCUAUUGGGUAUGGGUGAUAUGGUGGGCAAGAAGACAGGUGAUCGACGAGAAAAUAUAUCAACCCCCUUCGGCUACACAUCAUUUUAUAAACAGGUUCAUUGCUGAACUUGAGAUGGUACAACAAAAACAUACAACGACUCAGACCAGGCCUAUGAUCACAUGUACGAGACCAAAGGCACCACUACAGGGUUUUGCAAAAAUAGGCUUGACAGGUGCAGUGUGUAGGGACGUUGUAGGUCUCUAUCUCGGAAGUUUGUGGAGGGAGUGACUAACGUUGCAACAUUGGAAGCAAGAUUUGUUUCUUCAGAACUUUGUUGUUGCAUCGGAUUAAAAGCAGGUGAUUAAUGAUAUCGACAAAGGGACUGGUAACAGGUAUAGGAACAUCAUCGAAGAGGUCAAGCAGCGAGCAACCAGUUUUAAUUGUAUUUUCAGCUUUGAAGGUUGAGUGGUGAAUGUAGAUGCAGAUGGACUAACUCUCUCGAGCAGGGGCGCCACUUGUGGUUGGGCCACCCCCAUGAUUAAUUUUGUAUUCCACUCUUGUGUUUUUUUAAUCAAUAAAACUUAGCUUUUACCCCUAAAAACCCAUUUUGUCAAUAAAAUAAAGUAACACCUACCCUCUCGUUUAGGGUAACCUACUCCGCCGACGAUCCAGAUUUCCAACACGAGUCUUCUCAUUUUCUACCUUCGAUCUCCUCCUUGGACCUUGGAAAGUGAAGCGAGAUUGUUGUCUCAUUGGGCUUACAACCCUAGCCAUGGAGGGGGCUAGCUCUCCAUCGGUGGCGAGGGGUGCGAUGGAGGAGAACUUAGAGAGAUGCUGAAACACCUUGAUUUGAAAGAUGAGGAACUUGAUUAUGUUGUGAUUGGGAAGGAGUAGGUGAGAAUUUUGAGAAGGAGGCACAGUGGUUGGCGAACAGCCGCCUCAACACAGACCGCCUGUUUAGCGUUGUGCAAUGUUUGAGACUGAAACUUGUGUGUGGUUUAGCCCAAAAACCAAAAUACCAGGAGGCAUGCGAGAACUUAUUUAGCUUCGAGAUGUUCUGUCUAGGCGAUUGGGAGAAAGUGGUGCAUGGUGGUCCUUGGCUAUUUAGGGGCUAUAUAUGGACUCAUCGAGAGGGUCAUGAUGGGCGUACUGAUCCGUCCUUGAUCACUUUAGAUGGUUUAUAUGUUUGGGCACAAAUUCAUAAAGUUCUAGAUAUUUAUCGGCAUGUGGCUGCUGUAGAUUAGCUGGCAAGGAGAAUUGGGUAAGUUAGAGAGAUUCAGUUGUUGCCUAUUUUGUAUUAUGAUGGUGAUUAUGUUCGGGUGUGUGCGCAAGUACUCACCAAUAAACCACUCACUUGUUUUACUUCAUUGACUAUGUAAGGAGAAGAAAGUGUCUGCUGCAAGUUAGUAUGAGAAGAUCCCUUUCUUUUGCCAAGUAUGUGGGCCGAUGGGAUGUAUGCAUAAGAAGUGUGGAGAUGGGGUCGGGUAGCCUAACGAUAGCAGUAUGGGUCCUGGAUGAUAACACAAAGAUGGACUGCUUAGUAUGUCGUGCCAUCAGGAGGUAUGAGAGCUCCCAUGGGUAGCCGUGGCCGAGGGCAUGCUAGGUCUGGCUGAGGUAAUUCUGCACUAAUACGAACUCUGCAUGAUGCAGACUUGGGAGAUAAUGAAGAUCCGGGGACACGCCGUCGAGCUAACUGAAGAAAACUGAUGAGGAAGAGGUGGAGGACCAUGAUGGUGAUNNNNNNNNNNNNNNNNNNNNNNNNNNNNNNNNNNNNNNNNNNNNNNNNNNNNNNNNNNNNNNNNNNNNNNNNNNNNNNNNNNNNNNNNNNNNNNNNNNNNNNNNNNNNNNNNNNNNNNNNNNNNNNNNNNNNNNNNNNNNNNNNNNNNNNNNNNNNNNNNNNNNNNNNNNNNNNNNNNNNNNNNNNNNNNNNNNNNNNNNNNNNNNNNNNNNNNNNNNNNNNNNNNNNNNNNNNNNNNNNNNNNNNNNNNNNNNNNNNNNNNNNNNNNNNNNNNNNNNNNNNNNNNNNNNNNNNNNNNNNNNNNNNNNNNNNNNNNNNNNNNNNNNNNNNNNNNNNNNNNNNNNNNNNNNNNNNNNNNNNNNNNNNNNNNNNNNNNNNNNNNNNNNNNNNNNNNNNNNNNNNNNNNNNNNNNNNNNNNNNNNNNNNNNNNNNGAUCUAUCUAUGGUUCUAGCAAAUGGGAAGGAGGGGGAGGGCUAAAGGAGAUCAUUUGGAGAGCUCUUACCCCCCCCCCCCCACAGGCAUAUGUCUCUCCGAGUGAUCAUAAGAGAGCGGAGAAAGGCGCAUCACCAAAAAGAACAACAAAUUGACAUUAUCAGCGUCCGCCCUCGGGAUGGAAUGCCCUGCCCAAUGAAUACAUUAUGCUAGAACUACAGCGGGCUGGGCGACCUUGCGGCGGUUUGAGAACCCCGCGAUCUCGUGUAGGAGUGUGCGCCGACGAUGCUUUGUGUAGUGGAGACAAAAAUUGCGAAGUAUUGGAUGGGAGGUGUGGUGGGAACUUUGGGUUUUAAUAGUGCAUAUGGAGUAGGCAGUUCGUGGAGAAGUGGUGGUUUGUGUGUUUAUUGGAAGAACUCGGUUGCUCUGUCGCUUAGAAAACUUUCUCAGUAUCAUAUUGAUAUGGAGGUGAAAGAAGGGGACAAGGAUCCAUGGUGGAUGACGUGUUGCUAUGAUGAAGCUGACAAAAACCUGAGAUACAAGACUUGAGACAUGAUGAGAAUUCUUCAUGCUGAUGAAUCGGGCUUGUCGUGGCUUUGUAUUGGUGAUUUUAACGAGGUAUUGUGACGGGAACAACAUAUGGGCCUAAUGAGAGCGUGUGGUUGUAAAUUCAAAAAUUUCGGGAAGUCGUGGAUUUUUGUGGUCUCUCGGAUAUUGCCUAUACAUGGAUGGAUUGGAACUUAGAGAAAAAGGUGGCAAGAGGACAUUACUGAUGGGUACGUUUGGAUCAUGCACCUACGAACAAUGAAUGAUUCAGCCGAUUUCCAUUUGCAUCAUUUUUCUGAUGUUAAGUUGGACCAUUCCCCUAUUCUCUUAUGAAUGAGUUGGAAGUAUGCAACAAAAGGAUAUCAAUAGCCAGACCUUUUCAUAGGUGUAGGGGAACAAUUGUAGCCAUUUCGAUGAGUAAGAGUGUCGAACCCAAUGAAGAAAAAAAUGUAGAAUUAAUAUUCUCUCAUGUUCUAUCAACCACUAAUACAACUCUACACACACUAUGUUGGAAAUAUGCCCUAGAGGCAAUAAUAUUUGUGUUAUUAUAUUUCCAUGUUCAUAGUUAAAGACUUUAUAUUCUAUGCUAUAACUGCUACGAUCCUGGAAUAUGCGAUUCAGUGGAAAACUCAUACGCACGUGUGGAAUGAUAAACAUUUAAAUAAAAGGUUCCUAGUCUUGCCUCUAGGACUAGCUCAAGUGUUGUUGGUGAUCACGUUUUUUGGAUCUUAGGAUACCGUUGAGUGUAAACGAUAGUCCUAAAACAAGAUUGAGAUUAUGAUGUUGGAAGAACGACCAUAUUGAAUCGACCCAGACUUGUUUGUUAUGAAUUUAGUUUAUAUCGUCUGUAAUCAAUUGUAAUAACACAGAGUGUUAACAUGUGAUUUUGCUUCUUAGACCAUGAGAGUAUCGUAGUCACUUCCUACCGUACGUGGAAUUUGGGGUUGCUCAAACGUCACCUUUAACACGGUGAUCAUAACAAAAACUUACAGGCUCAUCGAAAAGUUUGGCAAGGGACUAGAUAGCUUGAGAGUGGGAUUUGCUCCUCCGACGAUGAAGAGAUAUUCUUAGGGCCCUCUUGGUGUGACGGCAUUCAUCAUCGUCUGGCCAGACACAGGUGACUACGUCAUGGGGGUGCCGGAACACGAUAACGAGAAAGAAGAACAAAACUGGUAACGAGGAUACGGUAUAAUGAACAUGUGAUGACUCAGGAGGAUACCGAUGCAUCCUGGGUUUUGUGAAGUAUCGCGAAGCAAAGGGAACAUCACAUGAUAACCAAAGUUUCACUCGAAUAUCAUUCGUGUGCUCAUAUGGAUCGAUAUUGACGUCCACGGUUCCGCUACCGGUCAUUGAACGAACAGUUUUGUUCAUGUCUAUGAGUUAAUGAACCUAAAGGAUCACAAGCUUAAGGCAAUCACGAUCUACAGAGUGUUAGUAGGACGGGGGUGAUGAGAAUAUAUUUGUGGAGUUGUUUCAUAAAUAUUUGAAAUAGUUUCGAUAGGAUCAGGAAGUGUUUCGGGGUCACCGGAAGGGUUUCAGGAAGUAUUGGGCAAUACCGGGUAUUACCAAUAAUUAAUAUUGAAAGUGUGUUAUAUCAACUAGAGGGGGUGAAUAGGUGAUUUUUACAAAUUCGUCACUGAGGAAAUACUACUUGAGGAAUUUGCUAAGUGACGAAAUACAAGCAGCGGAAUAAGUACUCAGGUGUAAGCAUUACAUGGCAAUAACACAGUCAUCAUGACGAUAUCAAACAAGCACAGAGCACAGGUAGCGUGUAAACAGGAUAAGCAGACAGAAGACAAGAUGACUACAGAAUCUGGGUUGAGGAAAUUGAGAAAGUCUUCAAACAGUAACGAUCAAGUUCAACAAUAAGUAAGCGAGGAAAUGAAAGUGUCGAGGAAAUAGAACCAGUAGCUCGGUAAAGACAGUGAUUUGGUAGACCAGUUCCAACUGCUGUGGUAGUUGUACGUCUAGUUGGAGUGGCUUGCUAUUUAAACCAAAGGACACAUAGUCCCAGGACACACAGUCCUUACCGUAUUCUCCUUGAGGUAAAGUCACACAGACCUCGCCCAAUCACUCGUGGUAAGUCUUCAGGUGACUUCCAAACCUUCACAGACUAGGUCACUGAUACGUUUCCAACGUAUCUAUAAUUUUGAUUGUUCCAUGCUGUUAUAUUAUCAUUCUUGGGUGUUUUAUAAUCAUUUUAUAUCAUUUUUUGGUACUAACCUAUUGACAUAGUCCCAAGUGCCAGUUGCUGUUUUUUGCAUGAUUUUUACAUCGCAGGAAAUCAAUACCAAACGGAGUCCAAACGCAGCGAAACUUUUUGUGGAUUUUUUGGACCAGAAGACAUCCAGUGGGCCGGAGAANNNNNNNNNNNNNNNNNNNNNNNNNNNNNNNNNNNNNNNNNNNNNNNNNNNNNNNNNNNNNNNNNNNNNNNNNNNNNNNNNNNNNNNNNNNNNNNNNNNNNNNNNNNNNNNNNNNNNNNNNNNNNNNNNNNNNNNNNNNNNNNNNNNNNNNNNNNNNNNNNNNNNNNNNNNNNNNNNNNNNNNNNNNNNNNNNNNNNNNNNNNNNNNNNNNNNNNNNNNNNNNNNNNNNNNNNNNNNNNNNNNNNNNNNNNNNNNNNNNNNNNNNNNNNNNNNNNNNNNNNNNNNNNNNNNNNNNNNNNNNNNNNNNNNNNNNNNNNNNNNNNNNNNNNNNNNNNNNNNNNNNNNNNNNNNNNNNNNNNNNNNNNNNNNNNNNNNNNNNNNNNNNNNNNNNNNNNNNNNNNNNNNNNNNNNNNNNNNNNNNNNNNNNNNNNNNNGCCCCCCAUCGCCUCUUUGCUCUAUUAAUACCCCAAUAUUCCAGAAACCCUAGGGGAGUCGACGAAAAUCAAUUCCAGUUGCCGCAAGUUCCAGAACCACCAGAUCCAAUCUAGACACCAUCCCGGAGGGGUUCAUCAUGUCCAUUAGUGCCUCUCCGAUGAUGCGUGAGUAGUUCUUUGUAGACCUAUGGGUCCGUAGUUAGUAGCUAGAUGGCUUCCUCUCUCUCAUUUGAUUCUCAAUACAAUGGUCUCUUGGAGAUCCAUAUGAUAUAACUUUUUUUGCGGUGUGUUUGUUGGGAUCCGAUGAACUUUGAGUUUAUGAUCAGAUCUAUCUUUUUAUCCAUGCAAGUUAUUUGAGUCUUCUUUGAUCUCUUAUAUGCAUGAUUACUUAUAGCCUCGUAUUUCUUCUCCGAUAUUUGGGUUUUGUUUGGCCAACUUGAUCUAUUUAUCUUGCAAUGGAAAGAGGUGCUUUGUGAUGGGUUCGAUCUUACGGUGCUUGAUCCCAGUGACAGAAGGGGAACCGACACGUAUGUAUCGUUGCUAUUAAGGAUAACAAGAUGGAGUCUAUUUCUACAUAAAUAGAUCUUGUCUACAUCAUGUCAUCGUUCUUAUUGCAUUACUCCGUUUCUCCAUGAACUUAAUACACUAGAUGCAUGCUGGAUAGUGGUCGAUGUGUGGAGUAAUAGUAGUAGAUGCAGGCAGGAGUCGGUCUACUAAUCUUGGACGUGAUGCCUAUAUAGAUCAUUGCCUGGAUAUCGUCAUGAUUAUCUGAAGUUCUAUCAAUUGCCCAACAGUAGUUUGUUCACCCACUGUUUGCUAUUUUUCUCGAGAGAAGCCACUAGUGAAAUCUACGGCCUCGGGUCUCUUCUUCAUUGUAUUUGCCUUUGCGAUCUAUUUUCCGUUGCUUUUAUUUUCAGAUCUAUUAAACCAAAAAUACAAAAAUACCUUGCUGCAAUUUAUUUUAUUUGGUGUUCAAUCUAUCAAUAUUUAUAACUCUCUCACGUUCGCUUGCCUAUUUCUGGCGCCGUUGCCCAAAAGGGAUUGAUAACCCCUUUAACACGUUGGGUUGCGAGUAUUUGUUAUUUGUGUGCAGGUGUUGUUUACGUAGUGUUGCUUGGUUCUCCUACUGGUUCGAUAACCUUGGUCUCAUCACUGAGGGAAAUACCUACCGUUGCUGUGCUGCAUCAUCCCUUCCUCUUUGGGGAAAUACCGACGUAGCUUCAAGACCGCAUCAGUCACCCAACGACGACAAUUCCUCUUGGAUGCUCUAGACCUUGAUGCCCAACCGUCUGGAAGAUGCAUAGUCUUCAAAGGUAACAAGCGUCGAUUCUACACAGGAACAAUCUCUUCAGUGAUGCUCAAUCACUUUGGGUUUUAGGUGUUGGGGUUUUGGGUUUUUCCUCACUGAUGAUUUUCUCUCAAAGUCCUCGGAGGAUGGGAUGCUCUAAAUGACAAAUGUCAGUUUUUCUCGGAGCAGCCAACCAGCUAGUGGUUGAGGGGCGGCGACUAUUUAUAGCCGGGGAACAACCCGACAUGAUAAGACAUAAAUGCCCCUUAAUGAUAUGACCGCUAGGUGGAUAAGAUAUUUGGGACAGCUGGCGAGUAGCACAGCAACGGUUGAAAAUUUGAGCUCUCAAAUUCCUCAUGGCUGAUGUGACCUUCAAUAGAAAAACGAUGGAGCGAAUAAUUUUCUCAAUCUUUCACACUACAGUGUCACCUGAAACGACGUGACGCUCGCGACCUUGUAGAUGCAAUCACCAUGGAAACAACACGCACACAGAGAGAAGAAAUACGUGGACGAUCUUCAGCAGACCAGCGAAAAUUGAAUUUCUAGAAUCAAUCUCACACCAAAACACAAAGCCUCAAGAGCUAUUCAACAAAUAUCAAACGGCGGCUCGAAGAUACCCCGAGUUCCCGAUCUGUUCAUCUCUGGAAAAUAACGUCAAACAAAAGCUAUCCCGUACACGGCCGAAGCCGACCUUUUAUAUAGGCGAGAAAAACGACCAGGCAAAACCGACUUAAACAAGAAAAAUACUACACAGACUCUCUCUCUCCUAUCUUCCUAAUCACAUCUUAACUAAUUUGAUUAUCCGGCACGUUGAUCACAAAAGACAAAACGGACUAGUACUUAUUGGAAAGGAAACGAACUAGGACUAAGAAGGAAAACACAUGCAUCCUCCUGAGUCCUUAACUUGCAUCUUCUCCUCCGUAUCAUGAUUGCAUGGGGUUCGGAAAGUGGGCUUCACUUCCUUCAGCUGUACAAUUUGAAACGUCAUCAUGCUAAUCUGUAAUACCUGUAUCUCCGGAGCUAUGUGUGUCAUGGCCAGACUUUGUUUAUGUAUUGAAUGGAUAGUACAAAUUGAUUUCUUUUUUCAGUGUGUUUAGCUGGUACGACAUACUUCUCCGGCAAUGAAACAUUUGUCUCCAUAGGCAGUGUCACAACAUCCUAUCUCCUUUGAAAGAAAACCGUCCUCGGUUUUGACUUAGGCCUUGCAGAUUUCUUCUUGAACACCUCUACAGUACACUUUAUAUUCUGUGCAUCCUUAGGAAAAAUAGCAUAGAACUCACCCUUAUGCAUAAAAGUGUACCUGUUUGUUCGCCCCUGAUGAAGUGCGUUAACAUCAUGCUGCCACGGACGCCCCAAAAUAAGGUGACAAACAUGUAGUGGCAUAACGUCACACUCCACCUUAUCAAUAUAGCCAUCAACAAAAAAAGGAACCUUCACCCUGUGGGUUACCUUCACUUUACCCACAUCAUUGAUCCACUUGAUAUAGUAUGGUUUUGGGUGCUCCCAAGUUGGCAAAGAAAGAGACUCCACCACAUCCUUGCUAAUCAUGUUGCUAGCACUGCCACCAUCUAUUAUAAGUUUGCACACUUCUCCCUUGAUGGUACACGCAGUUUGAAAAAUACUCCGUCGUUGUCCUGGUUCAAAAAUGACCUUGUCAUCUCGCUGGACCUUAUGUGCUAGCAAACUCUCCAUAUCAGGAUCAUCUUGAGGAUAACAUAGUAUGGUAUCACCAUGACCUCUUUCAAUUCCAUCCUCUAACUUAGGCAUCUCAUCGUCAGAUUCUGAAAUAUAUUCUGCAUCAACAAGUAGAACCCUUCGUUGAUUGGAACAUUUAUGCUUCCUGUUGUCGGUGUACAAAAGAAGGGACGCAUCUUUGUACCCCUUUACCUGUGCACGGACAGUCGGAGCCGCGCCCACGGCCGCACCAAGCAGAGCAGGGGAGGUGAACCAAGGUAAAACCAAAGCUCAAGAUAGCCAAGGCAACGCCAAGGCCAAGGACACAAAGAAGCAGAAGGAUGAAGCAGGCCCCCCCGGCAAGACCCUUGCCGGGGCAGCCUCAGCAGCCCCGACAAGACCCUUGCCGGGGCGGCUCGCCCCCACGAGCGGAACGCACCACCCUUGAGCCCACGGUUUCCAACACCAUCAACUACGUUGGGCCAGGGCUCGGGAGGCACCUCCGUGGUGGCAUGCAGAUCUUUGUGAAGACAAGGAAUAUUCAAGAUCAGAUGAGGAUUGGAAGACAACGAUCCUCGGCAAGAUCCUUGCCGAGGAAAGCCACGAGAUCUUGCCGGGGACGACAGCACGCCAUGGCAAGACCCUUGCCGGGCCACCCGGCAAGGCCCUCGCCAAAGGCGCCAGCGGGGCCGCCUCCAGGCCCGUACCAACCAAGUCUCCACCGCCGUUCGCAUGCAGCUGCCAGCCCAACCAGCUGGGCAGGCACCUGCGUGGCAACAUGCAGUUUCUAGGCCAACUCAGCACACGCCUAUGUGGCAACAUGCAGAUCUUCGUGAAGGCUCCACCACCGCGCCACCUCAGCUGCCUGCCUGCCUACAUGGCGCCGCACGCAUCGCUGGCCAGGGCGCAUGUCGAAGCGAGGAGGAGCGGCGACGGACGGGACGGGCCUCACUCCCGCCCCCGAUAAAGCUAGGGGACACCUCAGCGGCGCAUUAAAUGCGUCUUGUCCUAUAAUGCGAGCGAUAAGCUCGCAAUACUGUACGCCUUUCCACCUCCUGUAUGCCACUGUGGCAGCCCCUUUCGACUAUAAAAGGAGGCCCAUGGCAUACUGGAGGGGGAUUCGGCUCUUUGGAACCACACACCCAUCGUAGCUAGUUCGAGAGCUCAAGAACUCUCUGAAAUACAUCCACCAAAGCAGGACUAGGGUUUUACGCAUCCUCGCGGCCCGAACCUGGGUAAACGAUCCUUGUGCUGGUUACUAAUCCCGCUCUUCUCGCAACCCUGCGCCCCGGCAACCGUAGUAGGGAUUCUUGUGAUCCCAUAGGUGUCGUUCCACACCGACAUCUUUGGCGCGCCAGGUAGGGGGCGCAAUUGUGAGAAUCUGGUCUAGUAGUUAGCCAAGUAGUUCUUCAUCGCCAUGGCUCCCAAGAAGAAGACGGCCACGGCGAUCGGCUCGUCGGGAGCCGAACGGCCCGUGCCAGUGCGAGCGAGCAGCGGACCGGUCGCGGACAGGACCCGGGCCGCGGUCCGUGAGCACCAGCAUCGCCCUGGUAGUCAAAGUCUGGCGAGCGGCGUCGUCCGUGCACCGGACGACUGGCCGCACGUCGCCAGAUCCAAAGACGAGUUGGGCCCCCCCGCAGGCGGCGCGGGGCCCUCCAGGAGUGUCGUUGUGCCACCCCCGGGCGGCGCAGCCACCUCCAAGACGCCCACGCCGGCGCCCACAGCGUGCUCUUUCCAGGGUGCGCACAACGAGCAGCGUCACCACGCUGAAGACCCCAGACACCGCAGUGGGAAGAACCCUGUGCAUCGUCCGCGGGACGAAGGAGUCCAGCAUGCCCGCCGAAGCGCUGACGAAAAUGGCACGCAGCCGCUGGGCCAUGGUAGAGCUCCUUCUAACGUAGUUAGAAGUCGAAGCGCGCCGUGGUCCACGCAACUUUCGCCACCACCCACGCCAGCAGAAGCCUUGGCGCGCGCGCAGCUACUCCUCGACUUCCCUCCGGCUGCGGAGAAGCUUGAUGAAUGAAGAGCCACCAUCCGGAGCCUCGUUGCCGUCGCCAACAAUGACCCGCGACCGGCGGGGCCCUCGGGUCGGCGCUCCGUCGAGCCACCGCAUGUCGACGGUGGGAGGCCCGGGGGUGCUGCGGUCAUGGUGCACUCCCCUCCUCCACGCCAGCCGUCGCGAAUGACAGCUCGUCAUGACGACGCUUGCGACAACAUCUCCAUAGCGUCGUCCGACCCGUGGACUUACCGCGACCAGCGCCAAGUUCUUCGAGAACGAGCUCACGAAGAUGCUCGAACCACUAUCGAGCGCCGGCGCGAUACGCGCCACCAGUCGGACAAGCGGGCAGGACCCGCUAUAGACCACCCAGCACCGGGAAACUCCGGUGGCCUACCUUACAAGGUGGGUUGCCCAGCUUUUACCCGUGGGCUGCGGCAGUUCCAGUGGCCAUCCCACCGCACGUUCAAGCCCGACGUUGGCGAGAAGUACAACGGCAAGACCCACCCGUCGGAGUUCCUUAGCAUCUACACCAUCGCGAUGCAAGCUGCAGGAGCUCGCGACGACAAGGUGCUCGCCAAUUACUUCCCGUUGGCACUGAAACCCAACGUCAUGUCUUGGUUGAUGCACUUGCCGGUGGAUUCCAUUUCUUCUUGGUCGGACCUGUGUCAUGAGUUCGUUGGUGCCUUCACUGGAGGCCACCAAGCUCACGGCCAGGCGAGUGAUUUGCAUAUCAUUCCCAGAAGGAAGGGGAAACCCUGCGCAAGUACAUCCAGAGGUUCAGCCGGGUGCAGUACAACAUCCCCGACGUUCAUCCCGCCGCUGUGAUCAGCGCGUUCCACCAGAACGUGCGCAACCGCAAGAUGUGCGAAGAGCUGGCGAUGAACAAGGUUAAGGAUGUGGCCGAACUUUAUGUUCUGGCCGAUAGAUGCGCCCAGGCUGAAGAGGGAAGGAAGUACCCCGACGAAGACGCCGGUGCGGAAACCGACUCUACUGAUGAAGACACCGCCGCCCCAACGAAGAAGGGCCAACGUCGCAAUAGGAAAUGAAAGGGCAAGGCCGUGCUUGCCGUCGAGGGAUCCGACAGCACCGGCGCCGCCAAGAAGACCAAGGCAGACGAUCUCGGCAAGGAGAUUGCCGGGUGUGCCGCCUGCCGGGCCUUGGCUGCUGCUGACAAGCCAGGAAGCUCCGACAAGCAGUACUGCAAGAUCCAUCGCACCAAAGGCCACGACCUCCAGAACUGCCGACAAGUCGAGCUGCUUGCUGAGAAGCAAAAAGCUGAGUACGAGAGGCGGGACAAGGAGAAGGACCAGGAUGGUGCUGAGGGAUCCGGCAAGAAGCGUGGCGGCCAAGGAGGCCGCCGCGGCAAGGACAACCAGCAAGAGAGGCCCGCUCGGGGCCGCGACAAGAAGCAAGAAGAUGAUGACCAUGACGAGGACGACGAGUCCGGAGAACAAGAGUUCCAGAAGGCUACGGAGGCCAUGUGCGUCGACGGUGGUGCCUCGCUGCAUACUUCUCACCGCCAGCUUAAACAGUGGGCGCGUGAGAUUGCAAUAGCGGAGCCCUCGUUCGACACUCAGAAGCCACUGAAGUGGUCCAUCGCGCCCCUCAUCUUUGACGCCGAGGAUCACCCUGACCGCACGACUGCGGUCGGGUGUUUGCCGUUCUUGGUUUCACCAACAAUACGCAACCUCAAGGUGAACAAGAUGCUGGUUGACAGCGGGGCCGUCCUGAGCUUGAUCUCGCCCGUUGUGAUCAAAAGGCUGCAAAUUCCUGAUGGAGACCUCGAGGAAACGGGCACGUUUGAGUUGGUCAACCCGGGAAGGAGCCAGCCGAAGGGGAAGGUCACACUGCCUGUGACAUUUGGAGGCGAGCUGAACUACAGGACGGAGAGGAUUGUCUUCGACGUAGCCGAUAUUCCCUUGCCCUACAACGGGAUCCUUGGCCGCCCGGCACUAGCCAAGUUCAUGGCGGCGUCACACUACGCCUACAACAUGCUGAAGAUGCCCGGGCCGUUGACCAUCAUCUCCGUCCCCUCCAACAAGAAGGACGUGCUGAUUUGCGCCAACCAACUCUACCGAGAAGCAGUUGCAGCAGCUGCCGCCAAGGCACUUGCUCCUGCCGCUGAAGCCACGGGAGGGAAGAAGAAGACCGAUAAGACCUCUCGCACCCACUCCGGCAAGCGCACCUCUUCGGAGUGUUGUGCUACCGUCGAGGACGCGCCAGAGAGCUCCACCGACAGGAACAAGAAAUCCAGAGCUGCGCCGGCAGAAACCAAGAGGGUGCCCAUCAAGGAGGAUGGCACGGGAGGGGCUUUCAUCAUAAGCUCCACCCUUGACAGCAAAUAGGAAAGCGCGCUCAUCGCCUUCCUGCGGGCGAAUGUCGAUGUGUUUGCAUGGCAAGCAUCCGACAUCCCCGGCGUUCCCAGGGAGGUGAUUGAGCACCAUCUUGCUGUCUGUCCUCAUGCACGACCCGUCAAGCAGAAGGUCAGGAAGCAGGCUUUGGAACGACACGAGUUCAUCACAGAGGAGAUCAGGAAACUGGAAGCAGCAGGCUUGGUGAGAGGAGUACUCCAUCCGACGUGGUUGGCCAAUCCAGUGGUUGUGCGCAAGGCAAAUGGGAAGUGGAGGCUGUGUAUUGACUACACAGAUAUCAAUAAAGCUUGUCCUAAGGACCCCUUCCCGUUGCCGCGCAUCGACUAGAUUGUUGACUCCACGGCCGGCUGUGAUCUUCUGUCAUUCCUCGAUGCCUACUUGGGCUACCACCAGAUCUUCAUGACGAGAGAAGACGAAGAGAAUACGACAUUCAUCACCCCAUGUGGUAUGUACUGCUUUUUAAGGAUGCCCUUCGGGUUGAAGAGUGCUGGUUCAACAUUCGCAAGAGCAGUCCAAAUUGGUUUUGAACCCCAGCUACAUAGAAAUAUGGAAGCAUAUAUGGAUGACAUAGUGGUCAAAACCAAGAACAGGGCAACCCUUGUGCAAGACUUAGAAGAGACAUUUGCCAACCUGCGCAAGAUCAACCUCAAGCUGAACCCUGAGAAGUGUGUCUUUGGCGUUCUGUCCGGCAAACUUCUCGGGUUCUUUGUGUCACAGCGUGGGAUCGAGGCAAACCCGGACAAGAUCAAGGCUAUCGAGCAGAUUGGGGCGCCCAAGCGGAUCAAGGAUGUGCGUCGGCUAACUGGCUGCGUUGCCACCAGGAGCGGAUUCAUCUCCAAGUCUGCCGAGCGCGCCCUUCCCUUUUUCAAAAUUUUGAAGAAGGCAUGCCCGAUGGAGUGGACCCCAGAAGCUGAGGCGGCGUUGCAGGAUCUGAAGAAAUACCUUUUCUCCACGCCAAUACUGGUUGCGCCUAAACCACAAGAACCGUUGCUGCUGUAUCUAGUGGCAACGAAUCAAGUGGUCAGCGCCGCACUGGUGGCGUAGAGGGAGGUCGACGAGGAGGCAGUGGCGACGGCAGGACCAGCGGACAGCGAGCCAAAGAUUCCCCCGGCAGGGCCUGGUGCCGGCAAGGCAAGGCCCCCGGCAGAGUCCGACGCCAUCACGGCAACGCCCGCACAGUCUGGCGAAGUGGUGCAGAAGAAGAAUAUGAUGCAGCACCCGAUUUACUUUGUCAGCUCCCUCUUGCAGGGGGCUAGGUCGAGGUACUCGGGUGUGCAGAAAUUGCGCUUCGGCCUCCUCACGGCCUCGAGGAAGCUGCGUCAUUACUUCCAAGCCCACGAGAUCACUGUCGUCACCCGCCUCCCGUUACAACGGAUACUGCACAACCCAGAUGCUACCGGAAGGAUUGUGGAAUGGGCCUUGGAGUUAUCGAGCUUUGAGUUGUAGUUUGAAAGUACCUCAACAAUCUAGAGCAGAGUCUUGGCAGAGUUCAUUGCGGAAUGGACCUCAACACCUGAUAAAGAAAUCCAAGAGACCGCUCUCCCCGGCAAGGAAGUGGACCGCGACUGGAUCAUGUACUUUGAUGGGGCUUUCUCGCUGCAAGGCGCCGGUGCCGGUGUGCUGCUUGUCGCACCCACCGGAGAGCACCUCAAGUACGUGAUCCAGAUGCACUUUCCCAGGGAGAUGUCCACAAACAACACUGCUGAGUACGAGGGGCUGCUUGCCAGUCUCAGGAUCGCGGAAAACCUUGGGGUUAAGAAGCUCAUCGUCAGGGGUGACUCACAGCUUGUUGUCAGAAAGGUCAAUAAGGAUUAUCAGAGCCCAUUGAUGGAGGCCUACGUACAUGAGGUGUGGAAGCUGGAGGAGCGCUUUGACGGUAUCCAGGCGGAGCACGUUCCCCGAGCGGAGAACGACAUCGCUGACUACCUGUCGAAGCGCGCUGCGUUCAAGCUACCUGUGGAACCAGGUACCUUUUUGCUCCGGUUAACUCAGCCAUCCGUCGAACCAUCAGCAGGGCAGAACAAGCAGAGGAAAUCAGGUCCCGGCAAGUGCUUUCCUACCGAGCCCCCCGGGGCCGCCGACAAGGAUAUUGUCGUGGACACUGAGCCUACCAAGGAGCAGCUGGCUCCGGCAGGGCGUCAAGCCCUGGCCGUAGAGACGACCGCCCCCAUGGCGGAGGAAAUGCCUUUGGUCCUUGCGGUCGAGCCCCAGGCUCCGGCAUGGGCACAUCAUACCGUCCGAUUCCUCCAAACAGGGGAACUUCCUGAGGAGCAGGAAGAAGAGAAAAAAGUAGCCCGUCGAUCUGCCCUGUAUCAGUUCGUCGAUGACGUCCUGUACAAAAAGAGACCGAACGGAGUGAAAUUGAAGUGCAUCCCUAGGAGGAAGGACUGGAGCUGUUGGCGGAGAUACAUGGAGGCAUAUGUGGCUCCCACAUAGGGUCGAGGGCCCUUGCCGGCAAGGCGUUUCGGCAAGGUUUCUUCUAGCCCACUGCCCUCCAGGAUGCGACGACACUAGUAACCAAGUGUGAAGCGUGUCAGUUCCAUUCAAAGAAGCUUCAUCAACCAGCUCAAGCCCUUCAAACAAUCCCUCUCUCCUGGCCAUUUUCGGUCCGGGGGCUCGACAUACUGGGCCCUUUCCCCCACGCCGUCGGGGGCUUUGAAUACUUGUAUUUUGCAAUCGACAAGUUCACAAAGUGGCCGGAGGUGGAAGCAGUGAGGAAGGUGACAACACAGUCAGCCGUCAAGUUCUUCAAGGGACUAGUCUGCCGUUUUGGUGUGCCAAACAGAGUCAUCACCGACAAUGGCACACAGUUCACGAGCCACACCUUCAUGCAAUACAUUGAAGACCUCGGCAGCAAGGUCUGUUUUGCUUCCGUGGCACAUCCACAGAGCAACGACCAAGCGGAGAGGGCAAAUGCUGAAGUAUUGCGAGGCCUGAGGACAAAGACUUUUGACAAGCUGCACAAGAGUGGAAGGCGCUGGAUUGAUGAAUUGCCGGCGGUUCUUUGGUCGAUCAGGACGACGCCAAAUCGAGCCACCGGCCAGACACCCUUCGCCCUAGUAUAUGGGGUGGAGGCAGUUCUCCCCAUGGAACUCAUAUACGGGUCACCUCGAGUGCUCGCUUAUGAUGAGCUUGAGCAAGAGCAGUUGCGCCAAGGUGAUGCGACGCUCCUUGAGGAAGAUCAUCUUCGGGCGGCUGUGAGAGCAGCAUGCUACCAGCAAGCCUUGCGCCGCUACCAUAGCCGCAAGAUUCAUGCCCGAAGCUUUGAGGAAGGCGAUCUUGUUCUUCGGCGCGUUCAGUCGGCCAAGAAUUCCAACAAGUUGACGCCGAAGUGGGAAGGCCCUUAUCGUGUAAUACGAGUCACCAGGCCUGGCGCAGUCCGCCUGGAGACCGAAGAUGCUGUCCCAGUGAGCAACUCCUGGAACAUCGAGCAUCUUCGCAAGUUUUACCCGUAAGGCGCGACUUGCCGGCCCCCCCGGCAAGCCACCUUUUGUACAAGCUUUGCCGGCGAGGCAUGUAACCCUUUGUACAAAGCCAGGCGCAGACCCUGAGCAUAAAUAAAUGAAGCGCUGGCGCCCUAAGUUAUAGCAUGCAUGCUAGGUCGAGUCUCUUCCUUGGUUAGGGUUGAUAGUGCUUAGCGGCGACUAACCCCUAGCCUAGAGGUCGAGUGCGCGUCUCUCUGUUCUUUUCUGCUAUCCUUUGAUUCGCAGGGCACAUGGGCACUUCUGCUGAGCUACUUGGAAGAAAGGGAACAGACCGGCAUCCCGACCCCGGCAAACCGGAGUUGCCGGGGGCUGCAAGUACAAGGAUCCAACCGCGACAAGACAAGGUUGCCGGGGGCUGCUGAUACGUCUCCAUCAUAUCUACUUUUCCAAACACUUUUUCCCUUGUUUUGGACUCUAACUUGCAUGAUUUGAAUGGAACUAACCCGGACUGACGCUGUUUUCAGCAGACUUUCUAUGGUGUUAUUUACGUGCAGAAACAAAAGUUCUCGGAAUGACCUGAAACUCCACGGAACAUAUUUUUGGAAAAUAUUAAAAAUACUGGAAGAAGAAUCCACGUCAGGGGGGCCUCCACCUGUCCACGAGGGUGGAGGGCGCGCCCCCCUGCCUCAUGGGCCCCCUAUGUUAUGACUGUUACAUGAUGAACCGCAUCCAACAUAAUUCUCCAUCACUGAUCCAAUGCCUAUGAGCUUUUCACAUAUUGUUCUUCGCUUAUUUACUUUUCCGUUGCUACUGUUACAAUCACUACAAAACCCAAAAAUAUUACUUUUGCUACUGUUACCGUUACUCCAUACUACUUUGCUACUAAAUACUUUGCUGCAGAUAUUAAGUUAUCCAGGUGUGGUUGAAUUGACAACUCAACUGCUAAUACUUGAGAAUAUUCUUUGGCUCCCCUUGUAUCGAAUCAAUAAAUUUGGGUUGAAUACUCUACCCUCGAAAACUGUUGCGAUCCCCUAUACUUGUGGGUUAUCAAGACUAUUUUCUGGCGCCGUUGCCGGGGAGCAUAGCUCUAUUCUUUGAGUCACUUGGGAUUUAUAUCUGCUGGUCACUAUGAAGAACUUGAAAGACGCGAAAACAAAAAUUUAUCCCUCAACUACGAGGGGAGGUAAGGAAUUGCCAUCUAGCUCUGCACUCGAUUCACCUUCUGUUUUGAGUAAGCUUGCGACACCUAAACCUGCUUCUGCUAUUAAUUCUGAUAUGUCGCAUGUUAUUGAUGAUGCCACUUCUGCUAUGCAUGAUACUUAUGAUGAAACUACUUCUAUGCUUGAUACUACUGUGCCACUUGGUGAAUUUCUUGAUGAACAACUUGCUAGGGCUAGAGAGAAUGAACUUAUUGAUAAUAUUGAAGAUAGUGAUGAUGAAGGCUCUCUCCCUAAUAAAUAUGAAUUACCUAUUGUUCCCGAGGGUUAUGUUUUGGAGGAAGAAGCUGCUAGAGCUAUUCUUGCUUGCAAUGAUAGAUACGAUCUUAAAGAUUAUUAGCUAAAUGGAAGCAGCGAUCUCUUAAUGCUAGAAUGAAACCUGACCCUACUUUUGCUACUUCACCUAUCUGUGUUACUGAUAAGGACUAUGAAUUCUCCGUUGAUCCUAAUAUAAUUACUUUGGUUGAGUCUGAUCCUUUCUAUGGUUAUGAAUCUGAAACUGUUGUGGCACAUCUUACUAAAUUAAAUGAUAUAGCCACCCUGUUCACUAAUGAUGAGAAAUCUCGCUAUCUUUAUAUCCUUAAAAUAUUUCCGUUCUCAUUAAAGGGUGAUGCUAAGAUAUGGUUUAAUUCUCUUGAUCCUGGUUGUGUGCAUAGUCCCCAGGAUAUGAUUUAUUACUUCUCUGCUAAAUAUUUCCCUGCUCAUAAGAAACAAGCUGCUUUAAGGGAUAUAUAUAAUUUUGUGCAAAUUGAAGAAGAGAGUCUCCCACAAGCUUGGGGGAGGCUUCUCCAAUUACUUAAUACUUUGCCUGAUCAUCCUCUUAAGAAAAAUGAAAUACUUGAUAUCUUUUAUAAUGGACUAACCGAUGCUUCCAGAGAUUACCUGGAUAGUUGUGCUGGUUCUGUUUUCAGGGAAACAACACUGGAUGAAGCUAAAAUUUUAUUGAAUAAUAUGUUGACAAAUGAAAAUAAUUGGACACUUCCUGAGCCAAUUCCUGAGCCUAUUCCUAAACCAACUCCGAAUAAAAGAGGUGUUCUAUUUCUCAGUCCUGAAGAUAUGCAAGAGGCAAAGAAAUCUAUGAAAGAAAAGGGUAUUAAAGCUGAAGAUGUAAAGAGUUUACCUUCUAUUGAAGAAAUACAUGGUCUUAAUUUACCGCCUGUUGAAGAAACAUAUGAUCUUAAUCCAUCACCUAUUGAAAAAACUCAUGGUCUUGAUAACUCGACACAGGUAGUAAAGGUAAAUUCUCUCUAUAGAUUUGAUGAAGGUGAUAUUCCUCACUAUAAGUCUGCUAGACAAUGCUUAGAAGAGUUUGAUAAUUUUAUUGUCAAACAAGAAAACUUCAAUGCUUAUUUUGGUAGACAAUUGAAAUACAAUUCUGAUAUGCUUGAACACUUGGGUGAUUAUAUGUCUAGAGUUAAAGGUGAACUCAAACUCAUUAGUAAACAUGCUUCUAUGGUUACCACUCAAGUAGAACAAGUACUUAAAUCUCAAAAUGAUUUGCUCAAUGAAUUAAAUAGUAAAAAUAAUGAUUAUGCUGUUAGACUGGCUACUAGAACUGGUAAAAUGACUCAGGAACCUUUGUAUCCUGAAGGCCACCCUAAGAGAAUUGAGCAAGAUUCUCUGAGAAAUAAUAUAGAUGCACCUAGUCCUUCUAAGAAGAAGAAAAAGAAAAAUGAUAGGACUUUGCAUGCUUCUAGUGAACCUAUUACUGAACCACCUGAGAAUCCAAGUGAUAUUUCUAUUUCUGAUGCUCAAACACAAUCUGGUAAUGAACAUGAACCUAGUGAUAAUGUUAAUGAUAAUGUUCAUGAUGAUGCUCAACCUAGCAAUGAUAAUGAUGUAGAAAUUGAACCUGCUGUUGAUCUUGAUAACCCACAAUCAAAGAAUCAACACUAUGAUAAGAGAGACUUUAUUGCUAGGAAACACGGUAAAGAAAGAGAACCACGGGUUCAGAAACCCAUGCCUUUUCCUCCGAAACCAUCCAACAAAAAGGAUGAUGAGGAUUUUGAGCGCUUUGCUGAAAUGAUUAGACCUAUUUCUUGCGUAUGCGAUUAACUGAUAUGCUCAAAAUGAAUCCUUAUUCUAAAUACAUGAAAGAAAUUGUUACUAAUAAGAGAAAGAUACCGGAAGCUGAAAUUUCCACCAUGCUUGCUAAUUACACCUUCAAGGGUGGAAUACCAAAGAAACUUGGAGAUCCAGGAGUACCCACUAUACCAUGGUCCAUUAAAAGAAACUAUGUUAAAACUGCUUUAUGUGAUCUUGGAGCCGGUGUUAGUGUCAUGCCUCUCUCUUUAUAUCGUAGACUUGAUUUGAAUAAGUUGACACCUACUGAAAUAUCUUUGCAAAUGGCUGAUAAAUCAACUGCUAUACCUGUCGGUAUUUGUGAGGAUGUGCCUAUUGUGGUUGCAAACGUUACUAUUUUAAUGGACUUUGUUAUUCUUGAUAUUCCCGAGGACGAUAGUAUGUCUAUUAUUCUUGGAAGACCCUUUUUGAAUACUGCAGGGGCUGUUAUUGAUUGCAACAAAGGCAAUGUCACUUUUCAUGUUAAUGGUAAUGAGCAUACGGUACACUUUCUGAGGAAACAACCUCAAGUUCAUAGUAUCAAUUCUAUUGGAAAAAUUCCAUCGAUUAUUUUUGGAGGUUUUGAAUUUCCUCUUCCUACUGUCAAGAAGAAAUAUGAUAUUCUGAUUAUUGGGGAUGUGCAUAUCCCCGUUGAGGUAACAUAGUGUUAUUCGAAAUUUCUCCGGUUCCAUGUUAUUCGGAAUGAGUUUGUUAACAAGACUUGAUCAACCUUGUUAGUGGAUUCCUUUUGAUGAGCAUGAGAUGGAUGAAGUUAGAAAGCACAACCUUCUGUACCCUUCUUUUACUUUCUGUUAUUUAGUUGAAAUAAAGUAAAAAUAGUAUUUUCCUGUCUGUUUUCUGAAUUAUCCGUGCAAUAUAAAAAUACCCCGAAAUAAAAGUUCUCCAAAUGCCCUGAAAUUGAAAUAUGAUUUUUUCUGGAAUAUUUGAGAAUAUCUGGCACAGAGAACACACCAGGGGGAGCAAGCACCUGGCCACGAGGGUCCAGGGCGCGCCCACCCCUACAGGGCGCGCCCCCUGCCUCAUGGGCCCACGGUGGCUCCCCUCCACUUAUUCCUGCACCCACACACUUCUUCUUCCUCCCAAAAAGCUCAAGCACGAGUUCUAGCUCAUUUUGCUGUGAUUUUCGAUCUCCUUGCUCAAAGCACCUCUCAGAAAAUUGCUUGGGGGGAUUGUUCCUUGGUAUGUGACUCCUCCAUUGGUCCAAUUAGUUUUUGUUCUAGUGCUUUAUUCAUUGCAAAUUUGUGCUGCCUAGGUGACCAUGUUCUUGAGCUUGCAUGUCAAAUUUAUAUGGUUCUAAGUAGUUCUAAUGCUUGAUAUAGUCUCUAGGCACUUGUAGGAGUAGUUGCUAUCAAUUUUGUUGAGCUUGGUUCACUUUUAUUUGAAGCUACUAAAAAUUUCAGAAAUUUUUCGGAGGAAGAAAUAUGCUUAGGAAAAUUUACCAAGGUGGUCCUUCAAGGAAGCAAGGACCUAGGCUCGCAAUGCGCGAUGCCGAUGAUGAGCCACCAAGGAACGCUCCAGUGCGGCCUUGUGAAUGGCCUUCAGAAGGCUUUAUGGAUCGAGCAGGAAUUAAGGAAGAAUUUAACGCGUAUUUGCGUAACGCUGACCUUGUAAGCUUCGAGGGAGAAAAGUGCCGCCAGUACCACUAUCUCACUAGUUCCUUUAUGAGGAGGUUUGAAUUUUCAUCUUCACGCAAUUCUCAAACUGUCCUAUUUGAUCUCUAUGAAAAAUCUUACACCAUGGACUUAGAGGAUUUUACCACUGCUUGCAAACUUCCACUAUGGGGUAGUGCUAGUGAACCCCGCAAAUCUGAAUUUAGAGAAUUUCUUGCUAGUAUAACUGUGGGGGAAUCUAGAGACAUAACACAAGCUACCAUAGGGAGUAUUCAUUUUCCUGCUAUACAUUAUUUUGCUCUCUUCAUAGGUAGAUGCAUAAAUGGUAAGGAUGAAGCAUGUCACAUGUGUGUCCCUGAUCUCAGUAUUCUUAGGAGUGCUGUGUUAGGAGAUAAAUCUUAUAACCUGGGAGCCAUUGUUGCACGUAGGUUGCAUCAUAAUAGAUUUAAUGGAGAUUUCUUUGGUGGAAUUUAUGCAACCCGCUUAGCUGAUUUUCUUGGUGUAACCAUACGCGAUGAUGAUAUUGAAUUGCCUCCUACUUAUCUAGACUUUAAUGCUAUGGUUCACCAUCAGUUUGUUGAGAGGAAUGAAUCGCCUCUCCAGUAUCGCUUAAUCUUUGACAGACGUCGUGCUGUCCGUAUUACUCUCCCUGCUCCUGCCUUCUUUGAUUAUCAGGCAAAAGGAAGACAUUUUAUUACCAGAGAGGACGCAGAUGAGUACGAGAGGAGGGCGGAGGCAGCUCGCCGUCACGCUGCAGCUCAGGAGGCAAUAGCCGUUGCAUCUCAGUACGACCCCAACUACAACUAUGGAUAUCCGCCAGGCCAUCCGUGGCAAUAAACCAACUUAGGCCAAAAGCCAAAGCUUGGGGGAGUACAUAUUUCUCACCGACAUUAUAUUUAUGUUCACACACUCAUUGCUAGAUGUCGGUGCUCAUACUUUUUCACUGUACUAUCCAUGCUAGCUUAUUUUCUUUUUCUUGCUUUCUUCUUGUGUGUUUAAUAAAUCUUAAGAAAAACCAAAAAAAAUUAGUAAUAGCUUUUAGUUAGUUUACUUUUCUUGCUGUAGUAGUAUUAAUUAAAAAUAAAACCCAAAAAGAUUUCCCGUUCUUCUUUUGCCUGUUGGGAGCUUUCCCGUGUAAAUAGUUUUAUUACUUUUCUUUUCUUUGGGGGUCGAUAGGAGAAGACCAUGUUUAAAUUGUUGAAGUGGCUCUUAUAUGCAUUGUUGUUGAUUUAACCAAGAGCCCAUAUUGCCUUGUCUUCUCCUGUUUAUUGAAUGCUCGCAGAUUCCAGCUUAGUCCAAUGCACGUGCACUCUUAUUAUUUUCACAUUGUUCGGUCGUGCAAGUGAAAGGCAAUAAUGAUGAUAUAUGAUGGACUGACUGAGAUGAGAGAAGCUGGUAUGAACUCGACCUCUCUUGUUUUUGUAAAUAUGAUUAGUUCAUCGUUCCUGAUUCAGCCUAUUAUGAAUAAACAUGUUUGCAAUGACAAUUAGAGAUCAUAGUUGCUUAUGCCAUGCUUGAUUAGCUAUGAGUUAUAAUGGUUUACCUUGCGUGCCAACAUGCUAUUAAAAUGGUUGUGAUGUGGUAUAGUGGGGUGGUAUCCUCCUUUGAAUGAUUUAAGUGACUCGACUUGGCACAUGUUCACACAUGUAGUUGAAACAAAUCAACAUAGCCUUCACAAUAUUUAUGUUCAUGGUGGAUUAUAUCCUACUCAUGCUUGUACUCAAUGUUUAUUAAUUUUAAUGCAUGUUCAUGACUGUUGUCACUCUCUAGUUGAUCGCUUCCCAGUCUUUCGCUAGCCUUCACUUGUACUAAGCGGGAAUACUGCUUGUGCAUCCAAUCCCUUAAACCCCAAAGUUAUUCCACAUGAGUCCACUAUACCUUCCUAUAUGCGGUAUCUACCUGCCGUUCCAAGUAAAUUUGUAUGUGCCAAACUCUAAACCUUCAAAUGAAAUUAUGUUUUGUAUGCUCGAAUAGCUCAUGUAUCAACUAGGGCUGUCCGGAUCUUCCAUGCUAGGCGGGUUAUUCUCAAGAGGAGUGGACUCCGCUCCUCACUCACGAGAAAAUGGCUGGUCACCGGGAUGCCCAGUCCCAUGCUUUAUGCAAAUCAAAUCAAAAUAAUUGCAAACAAAACUCCCCCUGGGACUGUUUUUAGUUGGAGGCACUUGUUGUUUCGAGCAAGCCAUGGAUUGAUGCUUGUUGGUGGAGGGGGAGUAUAAAAUUUACCAUUCUGUUUGGGAACCGCCUAUAAUGUGUGUAGCAUGGAAGAUAUCGCCAUCUCUUGGUUGUUAUGUUGACAAUGAAAGUAUGCCGCUCAAAAUAUUAUUUAUCUCUAUUUCAAAAUCGAGCUCUGGCACCUCUCCAAAUCCCUGCUUCCCUCCGCGAAGGGCCUAUCUAUUUACUUUUAUGUUGAGUCAUCACCCUCUUAUUAAAAGCAUCAGUUGGAGAGCACCGCUGUCAUUUGCAUUCAUUACUAUUAAUUUAUAUUGGGUAUGACUAUGACUGGAUCUCUUUUACCAUGAAUUACAAUGUCUAGUCAGUCCUUGAUCUUUAAAGGUGCUCUGCAUUUAUGUUUUGCGGUCUCAGAAAGGUCUAGCAAGAUACCAUCUUGUUAUGUCAUAUUAUGAUUAUUUUCAGAAAGUGUUUUCAUCCGAGAUUUAUUAUUAUUGCUCGCUAGUUGAUUAUGCCAUUGAUAUGAGUAAACAUGAGACCUAAGAGUUAUUGUGAAUGUGGUUAGUCAUAAUAUUUGCUGAAAACUUGAAUGCUGGCUUUACAUAUUUACAACAACAAGAGCAAACAGAGUUUGUAAAAGUUUUUCUUUAUCACUUUCAGUUUAUCAACUGAAUUGCUUGAGGACAAGCAAAGGUUUAAGCUUGGGGGAGUUGAUACGUCUCCGUCGUAUCUACUUUUCCAAACACUUUUGCCCUUGUUUUGGACUCUAACUUGCAUGAUUUGAAUGGAACUAACCCGGACUGACGCUGUUUUCAGCAGACUUUCUAUGGUGUUAUUUAUGUGCAGAAACAAAAGUUCUCGGAAUGACCUGAAACUCCACGGAACAUAUUUUUGGAACAUAUUAAAAAUACUGGAAGAAGAAUCCACGUCAGGGGGGCCUCCACCUGUCCACGAGGGUGGAGGGCGCGCCCCCCUGCCUCGUGGGCCCCUGACGCUCCACCGACCUCAACUCCAACUCCAUAUAUUCACUUUCAGGGAGAAAAAAAAAGAGAGAAGGUAUCAUCGCGUUUUACGAUACGGAGCCGCCGCCAAGCCCUAAAACCUCUCGGGAGGGUGAUCUGGAGUCCGUUCGGGGCUCCGGAGAGGGGAAUCCGUCGCCGUCGUCAUCAUCAACCUUCCUCCAUCACCAAUUUCAUGAUGCUCACCGCCGUGCGCGAGUAAUUCCAUCGUAGGCUUGCUGGACGGUGAUGGGUUGGAUGAGAUCUAUCAUGUAAUCGAGUUAGUUUUGUUAGGGUUUGAUCCCUAGUAUCCACUAUGUUCUGAGAUUGAUGUUGCUAUGACUUUGCUAUGCUUAAUGCUUGUCACUAGGGCCCGAGUGCCAUGAUUUCAGAUCUGAACCUAUUAUGUUUUCAUGAAUAUAUGUGUGUUCUUGAUCCUAUCUUGCAAGUCUAUAGUCACCUACUAUGUGUUAUGAUCCGGCAACCCUGAAGUGACAAUAAUCGGGACCACUCCCGGUGAUGACCAUAGUUUGAGGAGUUCAUGUAUUCACUAUGUGUUAAUGCUUUGGUCCGGUACUCUAUUAAAAGGAGGCCUUAAUAUCCCUUAGUUUCCAUUAGGACCCCGCUGCCACGGGAGGGUAGGACAAAAGAUGUCAUGCAAGUUCUUUUCCAUAAGCACGUAUGACUAUAUUGGGAAUACAUGCCUACAUUACAUUGAUGAAUUGGAGCUAGUUCUGUGUCACCCUAUGUUAUGACUGUUACAUGAUGAACCGCAUCCGGCAUAAUUCUCCAUCACUGAUCCAAUGCCUACGAGCUUUUCACAUAUUGUUCUUCGCUUAUUUACUUUUCCGUUGCUACUGUUACAAUCACUACAAAACCCAAAAAUAUUACUUUUGCUACUGUUACCGUUACUUCCAUACUACUUUGCUACUAAAUACUUUGCUGCAGAUAUUAAGUUAUCCAAGUGUGGUUGAAUUGACAACUCAACUGCUAAUACUUGAGAAUAUUCUUUGGCUCCCCUUGUGUCGAAUCAAUAAAUUUGGGUUGAAUACUCUACCCUCGAAAACUGUUGCGAUCCCCUAUACUUGUGGGUUAUCAGCCGCAGAUCCAGAUAAGUCUUUCAUCCUCUAUCAUGCAUUUCGGUACGGAACCGGGAUAUAUGAAACUUUGUUUUAUUUCUAGGCCACUGUGCUCCCCUUUUCUAUACCCAAGGAUUAUCUCCUGGGCCCGGACUUGGUUGUAGCCGCGGCGGCAAGGAGAUAGAACGAGGAGCCUAAGCCCACUUCAUCCCUACCUCCGCCAAGGGCGCGAGAAUGGUCGAGUGAAGUGGGGGGGACGGCAGGGCCUGUUGCCGGGCGAAAAAUGUUUAUCUUAAAUAGUAACGAGGAUUUGCUCCUUGUCGCGGGGUCCACCCACGAACGAAAAAACAAACAUCCCUUUUUCAUUAAAAGCAUCCUAUACAGGUACAGUUCAUACGAAAUGAAAAACAUGAGCAAGGGGAUUACAAGUUCUAAAUUUGACAAAGGCCCAAGGGCUUACAAACUAAAAAAGAGAUGGGAUGCCCGUAAUCCCUUUCUUGUCCCUCUCCUCAGGAGGCAGGUCAAGGAGGCGAAAGGGCAAAAGGGGCGCCUAGGCGAGCUAUGAGCAGCAGAAAGCACCAAGAGAACACCUUGGUGGCUGCCCAAGGGCGGGCCGGUGAUGACAGUGCCGGGAAAGGAGCUGGAAGACGAGGCGGCAGGACCGGCAAUAUGCGAUGAAGGCGUCGGUGCCCGCGUACUCCGAGUUGACGGCCUUACCGCCCGCCCUCUUCCUCUUUUGCAGCCUCCCAACGCCAGCCGCCCAUGGAGACAGCCCCGAGAAGUUCAAGGAGUUGGCCCCUCCCCCAGCAAAAUUCCGCUGGAGGAGCGGCCAGGUGCAGAUGCUGUUGCUGCCGCACCCGCCCAGGCGCAGGGCGUCCGACGCCUAGUCGGACUCGUCCCCGUCAUCUGCCCCGCUGUCCUCCUCGUCAUCUGCCCUGCUGUCCUCCUCGUCACUUUCGCUCGAGGAAGAGCUUCCAUCGUCGGAGUCUCCGUCGGAGGAGCUCUCCACACAGCACUUCAAGCGAGUUCCAAAAUCUCCGAAGACCUUGACGGAGAGCAACCCGUCCUCCAUUAAUUUGAAAUAGAGGACGAGCCCCGCCGUCAGGCUGUGGAUGCGAGCGAACGUCUUCCAUCCACGGCGGAGGUACAUGACCCGAGGAGCCGGGAAGUCGACGUCGACCCGCGUGCCCCCAUUCCCGCAGCCCCUCAUAUGCAACCUGAGGGACUGGGGCGGGUCACGCUCCAUCUCCCGAGCAAACGGGGCGGGAAGGCGAAGACGGCGACGUGGAGGCCGGCGCAGCCUGAUGAAGAACUCGCGGGGCUGGUCUCCAAUGUGGCCCUCCGUCGGGAAAUGCAUCAUUGGCGCGGGCGAGGCCGGCGCGCCGCCCCGUCAUCCUCUUCCCCGAGCACCACGACCUCUGCCACGGCCUCGCCCACGGCCCCGCCCCCUCCUCCUUCCCCUCAUGGCCGGCUCCACCGCCACAAGCUCAGGAGGAGGGGGGACGCGCUGUCGAGCGGUGACCCUCGCCGCCACCGUCAAGGGACCAGGAUUCCCCUUCUCCAUGGCGGGUGAAAGGAAGAAGCAGAAGCAGGAGGAGAUAGAUGACAGAAGAGUGCGGGAUGCCAUCCCCCCUUCCCUCUCGGCCGCCCCGCUCGGCCAAUCCAGCCACUAGGGGCGCAGGGAUCGAGACCGACCCGCUGCCCCAACUAGCGACGGCCUGGUUUCCCGCCUCCACCGCUCGCCAGCCCAAGCGCAUGGAGGACGCGUGGCGAACAUGCAGAACCGAGGGGACGGGUGAAGCGACCUCUCCCCACCCCGUGAUCGUGGGGUGUGGACGCCUUGAAGACCACGGCCCGGCCCCGUGCAGUAAAUGAGUUGCGCCUCCACGCCUCCCUCUUUUUAUGGGGAAGGCGCGAGCCGCCUCUUUACCACGAUGUGACGCAUGCAUGCGGAAACCACCCCACGCAUGCCGCCCACGUCACGCGCACCCCUCCACGUCGCGCAUUCAACGCGGGUCAUGGGAAGCGCAACGCGCAAAAAGUUUUACCGCGGUAAAAACCGCCCCGCCUGCCCGCGCACCGUUUUGGGCUUGGCCCAACAACGUGUCGCACUUAUGUGUGGCCCAGGCCCGGGGGCUCCUGUCGGUGUACAAAAGAAGGGGCGCAUCUUUGUACCCCUUUACCUGUGCACGGACAGUCGGAGCCGCGCCCACGGCCGCACCAAGCAAGAGCAGGGGAGGUGAACCAAGGUAAAACCAAAGCUCAAGACAGCUAAGGCAAUGCCAAGGCCAAGGACACAAAGAAGCAGAAGGACGAAGCAGGCCCCCCCGGCAAGACCCUUGCCGGGGCAGCCUCAGCAGCCCCGACAAGACCCUUGCCGGGGCGGCUCGCCCCCACCAGCAGAACACACCACCCUUUAGCCCACGGUUUCCAACACCAUCAACUACGUUGGGCCAGGGCUCGGGAGGCAUCUCCGUGGUGGCAUGUAGAUCUUUGUGAAGACAAGGAAUGUUCAAGAUCAGAUGAGGAUUGGAAGACAACGAUCCUCGGCAAGAUCCUUGCCGAGGAAAGCCACGAGAUCUUGCCGGGGACGACAGCACGCCACGGCAAGACCCUUGCCGGGCCACCCGGCAAGGCCCUCGCCAAAGGCGCCAGCGGGGCCGCCUCCAGGCCCGCACCAACCAAGUCUCCACCGCCGUUUGCAUGUAGCUGCCAGCCCAACUAGCUGGGCAGGCACCUGCAUGGCAACAUGCAGUUUCCAGGCCAACUCAGCAUGCGCCUACGAGGCAGCAUGCAGAUCUUCGUGAAGGCUCCACCACCACGCCACCUCAGCUGCCUGCCUGCCUACAUGGCGCCGCACGCAUCGCUGGCCAGGGCGCGUGUCGAAGCGAGGAGGAGCGGCGACGGACGGGGCGGGCCUCGCUCCCGCCCCCGAUAAAGCUAGGGGACACCUCAGCGGCACAUUAAAUGCGUCUUGUCCUGUAAUGCGAGCGAUAAGCUCGCAAUACUGUACGCCUUUCCACCUCCUGUAUGCCACUGUGGCAGCCCCUUUCGACUAUAAAAGGAGGCCCAUGGCAUACUGGAGGGGGAUUCGGCUCUUUGGAACCACACACCCACCGUAGCUAGUUCGAGAGCUCAAGAACUCUCUGAAAUACAUCCACCAAAGUAGGACUAGAGUUUUAUGCAUCCUCGCGGCCCGAACCUGGGUAAACGAUCCUUGUGCUGGUUACUAAUCCCGCUCUUCUCGCAACCCUGCGCCCCGGCAACCGUAGUAGGGAUUCUUGUGAUCCCAUAGGUGUCGUUCCACACCGACACUGUGUCCACGUCCUCCACACUUGUGGAAAAUAAUAUUACGAUGAUGAGAUGAAGUCACAUUAGAUGAAACCUGAGAGACCUCCUUUGGCACAGCCGCCACUUUGCUCUGUUCAAUGCUUCCCGACUUAUAAGAAGGAGUCGGUUUAGCACUAAACCCACCAUCAAUAGGAGAAGAACCACGUCACCCACUCUUGUAAGUUGGACAAGUCUCUGAAGCUUGCUUCUCCAAUACCCAAUGUUCAGCAUGCUCCGCUUGAUGAAGCAACUCAUGGAUAUCAUUAUAUUGCAUUAAAUCAACACGGUCACGAAUCUUUUCUUCUAACCCCUCAAAGAAACAUACCAUGGUCGCCUCCACAGACUCACGCACAGCUGUACGGAUCAUCAAAACUUGCAUCUCUUUGUAGUACUCAUCAAUUGAUUUUGUACCUUGCACUAGACGACGCAGUCUACUAUGAAGCUGGUGAGUGUAAUAAGCAGGCACAAAACGUUCCCUCAUGAUUCGCUUCAUGUCAGUCCAUGUCGCUGGUCGCUCAUGAGUACGGUUCUUAUUAUCCCACCAUACAAGAGCAUACUCUGUAAAUUCCAUUGAUGCAACACGAACCUUGUUCUCUUCGGAGUAGUUCUGACCAUCAAAAAUCUGAUAUACGCGCAUCUCCCACUCCAAAUAUUUCUCUGGGGCAGCACAACGUCCCGAGAAUUCAGGUAUGGUUAUCUUGAUUCGACCCAAACCAUCAUCCUCGUGGGCACCAUUGCUGCCAUAGUCACGGCGUCGCCCAGCAUGGCGGUGAGCCCCAGCAUCAUGCCAUGGUCGGUGAGGUAAGCCUCCACGGGCAUUAGAAUCCUCAGAAAAAUCACCAUCAUCGUCGUUGUCGCGGUCACGACAUCGUCGUGGUGAGCGGGACUGUCGAGCUGCCACAUCUCUUGCCUGAAGGCGCUGAACUGCUGCGGUGAGCCAAUUAAGACUCUUAGUCACCACCUGUAGACUAUCAGUGCACUGUCGGUCGCUGGCAGUCAAACGCUCAUUCAACCUGUCCCCGACGCCUACAAUAUUUGUAGGAACUUUGUUGGGGAACGUAGUAUUUCAAAAAGUUUCCUAUGAUCACGCAAGAUCUAUCUAGGAGAAGCAUAGCAACGAGCGGGGAGAGUGUGUCCACGUACCCUCGUAGACCGAAAGCGGAAGCGUUUAGUAAUGCGGUUGAUGUAGUCGAACGUCUUCACGAUCCAACCGAUUCAAGUACCGAACGUACGGCACCUCCGUGUUCAGCACACGUUCAGCACGAUGACGUCCCUCGAGCUCUUGAUCCAGUUGAGGAUGAGGGAGAGUUCCGUCAGCAUGACGGCGUGGCGAUGAUGAUGAUGAAGUUACCGGUGCAGGGCUUCGCCUAAGCACUACGAUGAUAUGACUGAGGUGUUAACUGUGGAGGGGGGCACCGCACACGGCUAGGAACAAUUGAUGUGCGUUCUAGGGGUGCCCUCCCCACGUAUAUAAAGGAGGGAGAGCGAGGGAGGCAGCCUAGGGCGCGCCUAAGUAGGAGGAAUCCUACUUGGGCCCCUAGUCCAAUUCGGGCCCCCUUACCAUAUUUGGACAAGGGGGGAAGGAAGGAGGGGGGAGGGGUAUGAAGUAGGAGUCCUACUUCAUACUUUCCUUUUCCUCCUCUCCUUUCCCUUUCUCCCCACGUGGCUGGCCCUAUAGGGGGCGCACCAGCCCCUUGUGGGCUGGUGUGUUCCCUUACUUGGCCCAUUAAGCCCAUAUCUUUGCCGGGGGUUGCCCGGAACCCCUUCCGGUGACCCGGUAUCACCCGGAACACUUCCGGUGUCCAAAUACCAUCGUCCUAUAUAUGAAUCUUUACCUCUCAACUAUUUCGAGACUCCUCGUCAUGUCCGUGAUCUCAUCCAGGACUCCGAACAAACUUCAGUCAUCAAAUCACAUAACUCAUAAUACAAAUCGUCAUCGAACGUUAAACGUGCAGACUACGGGUUCGAGAACUAUGUAGACAUGACCGAGACACAUCUCCGGUCAAUAACCAAUAGCGGAACCUGGAUGCUCAUAUUGGCUCCUACAUAUUCUUCGAAGAUCUUUAUCGGUCAAACCGCAUAACAACAUACGUUGUUCCCUUUGUCAUCGGUAUGUUACUUGCCCGAGAUUCGAUCGUCGGUAUCAUCAUACCUAGUUCAAUCUCGUUACCGGCAAGUCUCUUUACUCGUUCUGUAAUGCAUCAUCCCGUGACUAACUCAUUAGUCACAUUGCUUGCAAGGCUUAUAGUGAUGAGCAUUACCGAGAGCGCCCAGAGAUACCUCUCCGAUACACAGAGUGACAAAUCCUAAUCUUGAACUAUGCCAACCCAACAAACACCUUCAGAGACAUCUAUAGAGCAUCUUUAUAAUCACCCAGUUACGUUGUGACGUUUGAUAGCACACAAGGUGUUCCUCCGGUAUUCGGGAGUUGCAUAAUCUCAUAGUCAGAGGAACAUGUAUAAGUCAUGAUGAAAGCAAUAGCAAUAAAACUGAACAAUCAUUAUGCUAAGCUAACGGAUGGGUCUUGCCCAUCACAUCAUUCUCUAAUGAUGUGAUCUCGUUCAUCAAAUGACAACACAUGUCUAUGGUCAGGAAACAUAACUAUCUUUGAUUAACGAACUAGUCAAGUAGAGGCAUACUAGGGACACUCCGUUUUGUCUAUGUAUUCACACAUGUACUAAGUUUCCGGUUAAUAAAAUUCUAGCAUGAAUAAUAAACAUUUAUCAUGAUAUAAGGAAAUAUGAAUAACAACUUUAUUAUUGCCUCUAGGGCAUAUUUCCUUCAGUCUCCCACUUGCACUAGAGUCAGUAAUCUAGUUCACAUCGACAUGGGAUUUAAUACCAAUAGUUCACAUCACCAUGUGAUUAGUUCACAUCGCCAUGUGACUAAUACCCAAAGGGUUUUACUAGAGUCAUUAAUCUAGUUCACAUCACUAUGUGAUUAACACCCAAAGAGUACUAAGGUGUGAUCAUAUUUUGUUUGUGAGUGAAGCUUAGUCAAUGGGUCUGUCACAUUCAGAGCCGUAUGUAUUUUGCAAAUUUUUCUAUGUCUACAAUGCUCUGCAUGGAACUACUCUAGCUAAUUGCUCCCACUUUCAAUAUGUAUCCAAAUUGAGACUCCGAGUCUUCCGGAUCGGUGUAAAAGCUUGUGUCGGCGUAACUCUUUACGACGAACUUUUUAUCACCUCCAUAACCGAGAAAUAUCUCCUUGGUCUUCUAAGGAUAAUUUUGACCGCUGCCAAGUGAUCCACUCCUGGAUCAAUAUCGUACCCCCUUGCCAAACUCAUGCAAGGUACACAAUAGGUUUGGUACACAACAUAGCAUACUUUAUAGAACCUAUGGCUGAGGCAUAGGGAAUGACUUUCAUUCUCUUUCUAUUUUCUGCCGUGGUCGUGUUUUGAGUCUUACUCAACUUUACACCUUGCAAAACAGACAUGAAUUCCUUCUUUGACUGUUCCAUUUGAACUACUUCAAAAUCUUGUCAAGGUAUGUACUCAUUGAAAAAUCUUAUCAAGCGUCUUGAUCUAUCUCUAUAGAUCUUGAUGCCCAAUAUGUAAGCAGCUUCAUCGAGGUCUUUCUUUGAAAAACUCCUUUCAAACACGCCUUUAUGCUUUCUAGAAAAUUCUACAUCAUUCCUGAUCAACAAUAUGUCAUUCACAUAUACUUAUCAGAAAGGUUGUAGUGCUCCCACUCACUUUCUUGUAAAUACAGGCUUCACCGCAAGUCUGUAUAAAUAUAUGCUUUGAUCAACUUAUCAAAGCGUAUAUUCCAACUCCGAGAGGCUUGCACCAGUCCAGAAAUGGAUCGCUGGAGCUUGCACACUUUUUUAGCACCUUUUGGAUCGACAAAACCUUCUGGUUGCAU